CGCUCAUUUUCAUGGCGGCCGUCUUACGGAGCCGGCUGCGCUGCGAAACGGUCCGUAUUCCCUGCCCACUUAGAGCGUGAGUAAUUCAUCUUUCCACGCUAUAUGCGUGUAAUAAAGGAUUGGGGCUGUGAGCAGUUUGAUGCGUUACCAUUAGGUACCUUGUGCGCAUAUUUUGCCUCCUGGCCGCGUCAAAUUGCAGCCGGCAUGUGGAAUGGGCCGUGGCAUAUUAUAUGGAGCUGCUCAUGUGAGUGGUAUUGCCUCCGUCAGGAUCGUCAGUGCGUGCACAGAACCAUUCAGUAGUCUGGUUCAGGGAGGAUGCGCGAAAGAACGAGGACGUAAGAAAACACUGGCAUGACGAGCUGUUCCGUCAGAUCGCGUUACAUCGCGCUUUUUUUCUAAGACCAUCUCGCUCGAGCGAGAGGAUCUUAGAACAGCAUUACUACUGCUUUUUUACAGCUUUGCUGCUGCUCAUUUAAUCGUCACCUGCAUUCUUUUAAUAAUACAAAUGACAUCGCUGCGCGGAAGAGCGUCUCUUGAAGUUUCCAAACAAUAGCCAAUGCCGCCGUGCCUGCUGCAUACACGCUUGCUUUUCCUAACGCAGUUAAGACGCGGCACUAGCUCUGCUACUGCGUGAUACAGGGUCACUGUGAUAAGAAAAUUAAAAAGAACAAACGAAAUUAAGGCAGAAAAUGUCAAACGUCGCCAAGCGUGAUAGACGGACCUGCCUCGCUAGAUGAGUUGAAGAAAUCGGGGUCCUGAAGUCAGCUUCGCCGCAGUAGACUAGUGUUACGCACUGAAGCAUGUCAGAACUGAAGAGUGACCGCUUUCACCGACAUAAAUAAUAUGUGUUCCGUAAUGAUGUACGCGUGCACCUGCCGUCUCCUGUUACAUUACGCGCGCCGAGGCGCCUAAGUGUACUGGCCGGCCUUCAGCGCUAUUUCGGACGUGGCUGUGAUGCUUUGAACCGUUGGUUUGUCGACCUCGUAAGCCAGUUAAUGUUUACACGGCCAUUUUUUUCUGAGCUGUUGAUUUCUUCCAUAACAGCUACGUAAUUUCGUAGUUUCCUGUUCAACUGCUUUGGUCAUAUGCGAGUCAAGGUUGUUCUCUUUAGCCGAGCGCAGUUUUCGAAAGCGAAACGACGCUUUUGCAUCAGCAUAUAGUGCCGUCGCCCAUUUACAACACAGUCAAUCAAUGUAAUUUUGUAUGUCACUGGGAAACCGCCGAACGCAGGGAACUCACUCGCAUGCGGGGAACUGCAUAACUAGCCACGGGAUUACCGUGCCUCUUGGGAAGCUGCUUUGCAUCAAAGGCCAGGUACCCUUGCUAUGAUUCACCGCAAAAUAUUUUGUAUGUCUAACCGCUUAACAUAUUUGUAUUGCGGUGAAGCUAACCUUACGGAACCGAAUUUCGCAACGCUUUUUAGACUCCUGCAUCUCUACCAGCCACUACCAAACGCUUGUCGGUACGUCUCUUGGCAAAGGUCCAGACUGAACAUCCCACGUCUUGGUUUGACUUCCUGGUGCAGGAUACUUGCACUUAGCAUGGAGUGAUGAAGCAGAGCAGUGUACUUUUAUUAAAUGUGCAGAUUUUAGCAGUAUAACAGCAGUUCAUUAAAAAAACAUGUGUGCUGAAAAUAAAGUGUUCUUACCCACA